GGAUUGCUACCUGGGGAUGCCCAUCCCCUGGCCGUGGGUCUAGUCCACUGCAGUGGGAAGAAGGCUCGGCCCGGCCUGGUCUCUCUUGAGCCAGGUACUGGAGGGUGUCCCAAGACCCAGUUGGCAGCUAACUGUGGCUCAAGGAGGUGGGCAUUGGCAGAACAGACCCGCCCUGGGCUGCAGGUGGAGGGGUGGGCCUGCUGGAGACUGAGGUACUUGUAGGAUGGUGGGGAAGAGCAAGACAGGGGCAGAGGAGGCUCAGGAUGGGAGCAAAUGCCCCUUCGGACCCCAAAAGCAGAAGGCUGGUCUGGAGAGAGGGAGCAUGCAGCUGCCCUUGCUCCAUCAUCUGGUGCCUGGUCAGGCCCUCUCUCCUACCUCCAGGAGGAAAAAAACAGAGAGAGGAAACUGCGAGCAAAUGGGCUUCUGGGUCCCGUCAGGGCUGCACAAGCCCUCUGUCAU
rnacentral:lncRNA from 1 species